CCCUGUCGGAUUUUACCUCCCCCCGGGGGAGCUCAGCCCUGGAUCCCGGCGGGCGGCGGAGCCUCUCUGGAGCCCGGACGGGACAGCCCACCAGGGUCUGCUUCUGUGAGGGGCCGAGGCGUCAUUCCGCGAAGCCUUCUCCUUGCUGUCGCCAUGUGAAGAAGGAUGUGUUUGCUUCCCCUUCUGCCAUGAUUGAAGCUGCUGGAAGGUACACAUCUUGGGAGUUUGCCCUUUGAAGCUCACCUGUGGACGUUUUUUCCUUCCGAAAAGAAGCAUAAGCUGCAAUAAAAAUUUGGUUUCAAGAUAACAGUCAGUCCCCAAAAAUCAGUAUUGAUAGUCACUGACAUUAAAUGAUGAAGAUACAAGGACAGUGUGGGGACCUUUACUCUUCAAAGAUGAGCUAUACGUGCCCCUGAAAGGCUGUCUGAAGGCAGGGGAAGGCUGGAGAUGGCAACUUUGGCCUCUGCCAAGUACUCAUGCUAUUUUCUGUAUGUGAUACUAUCUGUUUUCUAACUCAGAGGCAACACCACAUACCUAGCAUAAGGCUUGAACUCCCUUUGGGGUUAUCAAUUACUUACAUAGCCUUCCUCUAAGGGAAGGCUUGCAAGUGGUUCAUAUUCGACCCUUCCAUGUGAUAAGCAUUCAUGUAG
rnacentral:antisense_RNA from 1 species